rnacentral:rRNA from 2 species
AACUAACGCUGGCAGUGCGUCUUAAGCAUGCAAGUCAAACGGGAUGUAGCAAUACAUCUAGUGGCGAACGGGUGAGUAACGCGUGGAUGAUCUACCUAUGAGAUGGGGAUAACUACUAGAAAUAGUAGCUAAUACCGAAUAAGGUCAAUUAAUUUGUUAAUUGAUGAAAGGAAGCCUUUAAAGCUUCGCUUGUAGAUGAGUCUGCGUCUUAUUAGCUAGUUGGUAGGGUAAAUGCCUACCAAGGCGAUGAUAAGUAACCGGCCUGAGAGGGUGAACGGUCACACUGGAACUGAGACACGGUCCAGACUCCUACGGGAGGCAGCAGCUAAGAAUCUUCCGCAAUGGGCGAAAGCCUGACGGAGCGACACUGCGUGAAUGAAGAAGGUCGAAAGAUUGUAAAAUUCUUUUAUAAAUGAGGAAUAAGCUUUGUAGGAAAUGACAAAGUGAUGACGUUAAUUUAUGAAUAAGCCCCGGCUAAUUACGUGCCAGCAGCCGCGGUAAUACGUAAGGGGCGAGCGUUGU